GGACCUUCGGGCCUUGCGCUAUCAGAUGAGCCCAGGUCGGAUUAGCUAGUUGGUGAGGUAAUGGCUCACCAAGGCGACGAUCCGUAACUGGUCUGAGAGGAUGAUCAGUCACACUGGAACUGAGACACGGUCCAGACUCCUACGGGAGGCAGCAGUGGGGAAUAUUGGACAACGGGCGAAAGCCUGAUCCAGACAUGCCGCGUGUGUGAAGAGGGUCUUCGGAUUGUAAAGCAAUUGAGUGGGAGGAAGGGCAGU
rnacentral:rRNA from 1 species